CCCGCACAAGCGGUGAGUAUGUGGUUUAAUUCGAUGCAACGCGAAGAACCUUUACCUGGCCUUGACAUCCCGGGAAUUUCCUGGAAACAGGAGAGUGCUUUCAUUAGAGAGAACCUGGAGACAGGUGCUGCAUGGCUGUCGUCAGCUCGUGUCGUGAGAUGUUGGGUUAAGUCCCGCAACGAGCGCAACCCUUGCCUUUAGUUGCCAGCAGUUCGGCUGGGCACUCUAAAGGGACUGCCGGUGUCAAACCGGAGGAAGGUGGGGAUGACGUCAAGUCCUCAUGCCCCUUAUGACCUGGGCUACACACGUGCUACAAUGGUUGGUACAACGAGUUGCGAGUCGGUGACGGCGAGCUAAAUCUACUUAAAGCCAAUCUCAGUUCGGAUUGUAGGCUGCAACUCGCCUACAUGAAGUCGGAAUCGCUAGUAAUCGCGGAUCAGCACGCCGCGGUGAAUACGUUCCCGGGCCUU
rnacentral:rRNA from 1 species